rnacentral:rRNA from 1 species
CCUACGGGAGGCAGCAGUGGGGAAUAUUGCACAAUGGGGGAAACCCUGAUGCAGCGACGUCGCGUGAGUGAAGAAGUACUUCGGUAUGGAAAGCCCUAUCAGCAGGGAAGAAAAUGACGGUACCUGAGUAAGAAGCCCCGGCUAACUACGUGCCAGCAACCGCGGUAAUACGUAGGGGGCAAGCGUUAUCCGGAUUUACUGGGUGUAAAGGGAGAGUAGACGGGAGUGCAAGUCUGGAGUGAAAGGCGGGGGCUCAACCCCCGGACUGCUGUUGAAACGGUACGGCUGGAGUGCAGGAGAGGUAAGUGGAAUGCGUGGUGUAGCGGUGAAAUGCGUAGAUAUUAGGAAGAACCCCGGUUGCGAAGGCAGCUUACUGGACUGCAACUGACGUUGAAGCUCGAAAGCGUGGGGAGCGAACAGGAUUAGAUACCCCAGUAGUC